rnacentral:rRNA from 1 species
GACGAACGCUGGCGGCGUGCUUAACACAUGCAAGUCGAACGGAAAGGCCUGCUUUCCCUUGUGGAUUGCGGGUACUCGAGUGGCGAACGGGUGAGUAACACGUGAGUGAUCUGCCCCCAACUUGGUUAUAAGCCUGGGAAACUGUGUCUAAUUACCGAUAGGACUGCAGGGUGGAGCAGGUGGUGGCAAACGUUCUUCUAGUGGUAGGGGAUGCGCUCGCGGCGUAUCAGCUUGUUGAUGGGGUAGUUGCCUACAAAGGCGGCGACGGGUAGCCGGCCUGGGAGGGUGGACAGUCGCAGUGGGACAGGGAUACGGCCCAUACGCCUACGGGAGGCAGGAGUGGGGAAGAAUGCAGAAUGAGCGGAAGCCUGAUGCAGCGACGGCGCGUGGGGGAUGACGGCCUUCGGGUUGUAAACUCCUAGGGAACGCGAGGAAGCCACGUGGUUGGAAGGGUGGUGACGGUAGUGGUAGAAGAAGCACCGGCUAACUACGUG